rnacentral:lncRNA from 1 species
CGCCAACAACAGACUCCUCCUUCUUUGACAGCUCUUUCAACAGCACGACGUAUCUUGGCCGAGAUUCCGCCUUUUACUGCUGAUGUAGUGAAGCUUCCGGCCACUGCUUCCACAGCAAGACAGGUCCUAAGGUAGUUUUAGUGUACCUCUUCUUCUAUUCUAGUAUGCCACUCUAUACCUUAGUAUCCCGAUCUAGUGAGUUGUCAGAAUCUUCCUUGUCUAAAUCAAAGUCUUGAUCUUCUCCUAUCUUUCGGCAAGAGUAGGUCCCUUAUUGUGAUCUUUUCUUCAGUCUUACGUCACCGAGGGAAAUUAGCCAAUCAGUAUGUAGUUAGCCUUUGUCGACUCUUCCUUUGUUUCCUCCACUAGGCUUGGUCGAGUGAGCUUUUGCUUCCUCCACUAGGCUUGGUCGAGUGAGCUUUUGCUUCCUCCACUAGGGUCUCAUAGUAUGGCCCUUCCAGUUUAGAGUAUAGAGAGAAAUGCCAUAUAUAAGAUAGAAUAUGAAAUCUUAGUAGUAAGUACCCUUUAUUGAGUCCCUUUCUUCCUUCUAAGGAGUAACGAAUUGGAUUUGAACCAAUGCUUCGGGUCUAGUGACUUUCCCCGUGAACUUCCAUUAUUCGAUCGUUACAGAAAAGCCUGUUGAAAUCGAUUGCUUUGCUCUACUCUAUAUCGAGGAGCCUUGCAGAGACAGAGAAUAGAAAAGAAAAAAAGAGCGAUUGAGAAUCUCGAGAACCUUUCUGAACGUCUGGGGCAAUUUGAAAAGGAGUAUAUCUUUCUUGUAGUGCCUUCCAUUCCACUAUUCUGAUCAAGAAAGAAUCUCUUCCGAACGACCAAGUAAUAAUGAGAUUAAAAACCGAUGCUUCUUUGGCCGUGUGGAACAUGGAUUAGCAUUAUGUCAUUCCUACAAGUGAUCCCCCAUCCAGGAUUGGAAGAAGUGCUAUAUGAGGACUUCGAGAUCAAAUAGAAUAUGUUUCUUUCCAUUCCUCGUGAGCCACUUAUUUCUCCGAAACAAGAGAUCAAAGUUAUCUUCCUCCUUUUUCCCAAUAAGUCGACGGCCUUACACCAUUGGGAUACUUCGAAUAAACUGGAGUACAUAUAGGAUACACCGGUGCUAAAACCUUUUCUCAAGAUAUCUUCCAAACUGUUGGGGUCGCUGCUCCGGAUGUUGUUCUCCCGGUGUGAAACCAGUUGGUUCCGUAGUUUUAGAAUUCUGCUGAUCCCAAGUAGUCCAUCUCCAUCAUUGCAUAUGGGAAUAUAGAAAGUAAAGAGGAAAAGGCAUGACCAGAAGAAUUGUGUGAAAUAAGUGAAUUUAUCCAGUUGAGGCAUCUUGAUUGAAAAACAAAGGAUUCCCUCCAGACAGAAAGAGAGUCCUUCCUGUCGCCGACUGAAGAACCUAACGGAACUUUUCAAAGACCAGGGCGGUUGCCGCUUUCAAGACUAGAACGAAGGUCGAAUCGUACGAAGACAUCUGUACGAGCCGUGUCAUAAGACCAUCCAGGGGUCAAUGCUGAAUAUCUCUGCACAUACAUACAUAUGCAUAACAUAAUAACAUGCAUGAUACAAUAGAUGGCAAUAUGAUAUAGGGAAUGGAAAAUUGUACAUACAUUCCUAAGUAUAUCAUCAUCUAAUACAUCUCUCUACAGCUAAAAUACAGGGAAAUGGGGCGAAGCUACCCAACAUCUCAACAGAGGACUAUCAAAAGAUAUAGCGAGAAUGGGGCGAAGCUACCCAGCAGCUAACAAAGGCCUAUCAAAAGAGAUAACAUGAAUACAUCAGAAGAAGUCAAUGGUAUCGAUGUCUACAUCGUCAAUCCUGUCCACCUGAUGUAACUCCUCCUGAGUCACUGGAUCUCUGUCUACAGGGAUGUCAGGCCUAUACAAGGGAGGAUCUGCACCGGCAAAGCCAUAUGGGUCACCUGAGGGGCCAGCGCCAGAGCUGGAAGGAUCAAAAGUAUCUACCUCUGAAGGAUCUCUACCCAAGUGCCGGAUAAAGAAAUGUACCCAACCCAACUGUCGGGUCAAAUUUUUAAUCUAUGUCACAUGAGUCGGAUCUCUGACACAGGCUAGCCAAUCCAUCAUCAUCACGGAUCCUAGAACCAUAUCCCCCAUAAACUGUGUGGCGCGGGUCUGAGCUCCAAUGGUACGAGGGAUCCACCAAUGCUGGAACAUCUCCUGAGUGCAGGACCCUAUGACAUUGUAAAACCGUCAAUCCCCAACAAUGGGAUGUCAAUGAUGGGUGACUGCAAAACAGGCCAAUAACGCCUGGCAGGAGGCAAGAUCGGCAUGCGAAUCUCUCAUGUAGUGCUCCUGAUAGCACGCUCUCCUAAAUAGAGCUCUCAUCCUCCAUCUGUGAAGAGAGGAAUCCUAUGGGUGGAAAUAACGUACUCAACUCCAAUCGAGUACCCAUCCUCAAAUCCAACACUCAAGUGCUCCCCAGAAUAGGGAACCCAUGUGAUGACAUCCGCUGUCAACAACUCCAGCUGUAGGCGGCAAUUAGUGAAACUCUCAGCUACAGGGACCUCCACCAGUNNNNNNNNNNNNNNNNNNNNNNNNNNNNNNNNNNNNNNNNNNNNNNNNNNNNNNNNNNNNNNNNNNNNNNNNNNNNNNNNNNNNNNNNNNNNNNNNNNNNUGCUGCUAUACUUUAUAUGGCAUGUAAUAAUUUGAGUAUGAAUAUUGUCGUAUUAUAUACAUUACAAUAUUUGUAUUGAAACUCACAGUAUAUAUGUCGUUGUAUUUUGCACGACAGUUGUAGUACUAAAGUUGUAGUUGUGUUUCCGUACCAUGUAUUUGGCGACUCAUAAUAGGUUGGAUGGAUUGGACCUAUUUUGGGGGCGUUACAGCAGCAUCGUCAACCGUGCAUACUCCUCCAAAGUAGGAGUUAACUCUUAGGUCCCGAAUCAAAAAACCUGUCUCUCCGGUACCCAAUGCUCUAGCAUACCCUCUAUGAACCUUGUGGGAACCUGAAACAUCAACAAGGUCAUAGUGUGCUGCAACAAAUGAUCUACAGUCACCCUGUCUGGUGGUGACAUACUAUCAUACCAUGAGAGCAUACCAGAUGCCACCAAAAAUGGUGGGGUAUGAUCAAUACAGCUAACUGUCGAAGAGUAAAGAGGAAAAGGCAUGACCAGAAGAAUUGUGUGAAAUAAGUGAAUUUAUCCAGUUGAGGCAUCUUGAUUGAAAAACAAAGGAUUCCCUCCAGACAGAAAGAGAGUCCUUCCUGUACGAGUAGUGAAGAACUAUAGAGAACUUUUGUUGUUUUGUUUGUUGUUGUCCGACGGAAAGCAUGGGAGAAAGAAAGAUGCACCGCGUUACCUGUAUUCUUUUAGAAUGCUAAUAAGAUUCGAGUAAAUGGUAUUAUUCCGGAACUCGUCGAUGCCUGCGAAGUCGUCCGUAAGCGUUUGAUGAACAGUUCUAAGCAGAGGGAGACUAAGCUCCCGCUUAAACCCGGCAUCCUGGGUAAUUGCCCCUACCAUUUUUGACAAGAAAACGUCGGUGUCUACAUAAAAAGGGCGGGCUUUGGGAAAUUCCGCGAGGGUGAGCUAACUCCAAAAACCCGUCCUCAGUUCGGAUUGCAGGCUGCAACUCGCCUGCAUGAAGCCGGAAUCGCUAGUAAUCGCCGGUCAGCCAUACGGCGGUGAAUUCGUUCCCGGGCCUUGUACACACCGCCCGUCACACUAUGGGAGCUGGCCAUGCCCGAAGUCGUUACCUUAACCGCAAGGAGGGGGANNNNNNNNNNNNNNNNNNNNNNNNNNNNNNNNNNNNNNNNNNNNNNNNNNNNNNNNNNNNNNNNNNNNNNNNNNNNNNNNNNNNNNNNNNNNNNNNNNNNACCACCAAUGCUGGAACAUCUCCUGAGUGCAGGACCCUAUGACAUUGUAAAACCGUCAAUCCCCAACAAUGGGAUGUCAAUGAUGGGUGACUGCAAAACAGGCCAAUAACGCCUGGCAGGAGGCAAGAUCGGCAUGCGAAUCUCUCAUGUAGUGCUCCUGAUAGCACGCUCUCCUAAAUAGAGCUCUCAUCCUCCAUCUGUGAAGAGAGGAAUCCUAUGGGUGGAAAUAACGUACUCAACUCCAAUCGAGUACCCAUCCUCAAAUCCAACACUCAAGUGCUCCCCAGAAUAGGGAACCCAUGUGAUGACAUCCGCUGUCAACAACUCCAGCUGUAGGCGGCAAUUAGUGAAACUCUCAGCUACAGGGACCUCCACCAGUAUGGAAAGAUGCCAUCUUCGUCCUCCUGGAUAGGUGUCUAAACCUAGCACGCUCACAGGAUGCAAACAUGGAAGCCUCUCAUAGGCCCAAAACUGCUAACACAAAGGCAAACAUCUGUUGUCAGUCAACGCUCUUAACUUGUACAUGGGAAAAGACAAGAGAAAUACUCACCAGCAGAAAUGGGUAGAAUCCUAACCAAGCCUCGGUCAAGCCCUACGAUUGCAUGUGCAUUCCCCUGAGGAAAUAUGCAAAGGUGUAGGAACCCUAAUCAUAGUCUCUUAUACGGUCCACGUGUCGAGUGGCGCUAAUCAAAGCAAAGGACACCAUAGAAGAGUUAUCUACUAUGAAGCAGCCCCUAAUGAUCAUCAGGAACAAUCGCCGAAGAAUGUGAUCCCUGACUCUCACAUCAUCGGGUAUAGGCUCACUCAAUAGCCCGCUCAUAGCAUCUACGCUCAAAGGACCUGCACGAACAGUCCUGCCCUUAAGCGCCUCCGUUGGAACUCCCAACAAGGAUCUGACGGCAGUAGGGGUAAUAUAUGUCGUACAAGGCACUGGAUCCCCUCCAAACUCCAUAUUUGUGAUAAACCGCCAAUCUAUCGGCAUCAUCAUCACCUCACAGUCCAGCAAAUGGAGUGACUGAGUCUGGUGAAACCACCGCUCAGACAAUGCCCUGAGGUAACCCCAGGGACAUCGACGGGGAAGAAUGAAAAAGAAUGUCCCAAAUCCCCAGCUAUGUACAAUCUCUCUAUAGUCAUCAUGCAAUGCCUGAUACAUAGAGUGGAUGCUGAACCAGUUCCCUCGAGGCUGUGUAAAGCCAGGAACCUACAUCAAAUGCAGAUCAACAUCAAAAUCCUUUGCUCCUCAUUAAUAGGAAACAAGGAAGAUUAAGAUCUAACUUCAUACCUCGUUUGCGUGCAGGUAAACUGAAGGAUGCCGACUCAAGUCACACAAAAGAUCUGGGUUCGCCACUUGAAUACCUGACAAAUCCCUACGGGGAACACGUGCAGCAAGAGCAGGAACCUCAAUCGGUACAUCCUCCUCCUCAUCCUCGACAUCCAGCACUUUAACCCGGAUAGGACGUAUCACCGCCUCCACCAAAGGACGAGGCUGUCUAACAGAACGGGGUCGAGGUACUUUAGAAGCCCUCCUCCAUACACCAGAAGUGGUCCUGCAGGAACUACUUAGCUGAUCCAGAUCCAUAAUAUCUGGACAAUAAGUCUCCAAAUCACCUCAGAAAGGGUGUGGUAAAUUCUUACCUGGAGCUUUUUAAAAUGCAUUUUAUGAUUAGAUGCAUGCAUGCAUCGUUUUAACAUACAUCUAUAGUAUAGUUAAAAAUGCAUGACUGCACAAUGCCUAUGUUUUGGAAAAAAAAUUCCAUAGCCCCCUUUGUAAAUGGGACUAUCCACAUGCACAUAGGCAUGACUAGGUGGCCAUUUAGUAGCACACCUACCAACAGUCAUAUACAUCUUAAAUGCAUUUAAUACAUCACAGUAAAAAAAAUCCGUAAGUGUAGUUUAAUUACCAGGUUAUUUUACUUUUCUACCUUUACUCAUUUGUCCUCAAAUAGGAUAAGAAAUAACAGUAAAAGGUACCAAUUUGACUAUUUUAAAAGUUAAUUUUUUUCACAUCAUUAUGUUCAGCAUGGUUUAAUACUAACAUUUACUAUGUUGAAUAUUUUUUAUCAUAUCAUAUGAGCAUGCAUAUUCACUACUAUGUGUCUAAAUGCAUUUCAUGUGAUAAGUCAUUUUCCAACGGAUAGAAACUGGAAAAGAAUACAUGCAUAUGUUACCGAAACAGUGAAGAAUGCUUGUACGGUGACAGAAUAUGCAGAAAGUUUCCCGAACUCAGCAGGUUUGAAGAAUAGCUCUCAGAUUUCCUUCGUCGCGCAGCUUGAAAAUGACUUAUGAAAGCAACCCGCAGGGAAUACAUACCCACGGUUGGCCGCAGGUCCACCUGUGACUGCUGCAGGUGUACCCGCGGCACCCCUAUAUGGGUCCCACACCUCCGGCUCGCUCUAGUUAGAGUUGCAAAGAAGGUCUCACAAGCUGAAAAGGCCAAAUUAGGAAUAAAAACGCUACGCGAUUGAGCAGAAUAGCAUGGAAUCCUGGUUUUUAUGGACCAAACUUUGGCUCCACAUCUCACUCAUUGGUAUUCACCUGCAUACAAGGUAUACUAUACAAAUGGCCUCAGCUUUUACAAAUCAUGCUCGACAAUACCUCACAAUGGUCCGAUGCCGUCAGUGUAGGGUCACAACCCUAGAAGUAUCCCCGACGGGGGUUACAACGCCGAAGUUAUGAAAUAUUGAAGUAUCCCCGGCGGGGGUUACAACGCCAAAGUUAUAAAAUAAUGAAGUAUCCCCGGCGGGGGUUACAACGCCGAAGUUAUGAAUUAAUGACGUAUCCCCGGCAGGGGUCAUAAUGCAGAACUUUCAAACAUCUACGUUGUGACGCCCCCAAAAUAGGUAUACAACACCCAUUCUGAGUCGCCAAAUACAUGGUACAGAAAGCAAACUACAACUUCAAUAAUACAAUUGUCGUGUAAAAUACGACAACACAUACUGUGAGUUUAAAUACAAAUAUUGUCUUCUAGACAAUAUCAACACUCAAAUAAAUCCUCAUUACAAUAAUUCAUACACUAUUUUACAGAAAUAGUGAGGACUGUUAAAACAUCUUUCUAGAACCAUCACUCCAUACCCGGACUCGAUCCUGCUAUGUUCUCACCUCCUGAGAAGAAAAAAUGGAACAAAAAGGAAAAAGGUGAGCUCAACUAGCCCAGUAAAGAAUAUUAUGACUAAGAUAAUAUACAACAAAUUAUCAUUAGUCUUCAACAGGGAAAAAUCUGAUAGGACAUAAUAGACAACAAGUUUUAGAUCAACAAAUGCAGCAGAAAUAGCAAUCCAUUAGAAGAGUCACGUAGAGAAAGAAUUCUACUGUCUUCUAAGGUUUAAAAGUCCAUCAUCAAUAGUUUAUCCCUGUAAUAACAAUCAAUAUACAUCUUUAAUCAUCUUUGCACUACAGGCCAAAGAUAUUCAUUUGUAUCACCAGUUGGUCAUGUUCAUCUCAACACCUGUUCAUCUUUGCACUACAGGCCAAAGAUAUUCAUCAGUUNNNNNNNNNNNNNNNNNNNNNNNNNNNNNNNNNNNNNNNNNNNNNNNNNNNNNNNNNNNNNNNNNNNNNNNNNNNNNNNNNNNNNNNNNNNNNNNNNNNNGGAUGAUGAAAAAUAUUUUAAAGAAAACGAAUCCAGUGAGACAGAAGGACAAAUAUUAGGGAUUCGUAUAACAGUUUAUCCAAAAUCAAUAAUACUUCAUAAUAACCAAUUGUGAAGCAGAAUUCAAAAAUAACGAUCAAAACAUGGAUACAAUCAAAGAUAGUAACCAUAAUAGACAUCUUGGACAAAAAGGAAAAAUUUUAUUUUUCGAUGAAUAGUGUCGUAUACGUGAAUAGUUCUGUAUACGUGAAUAGUAAUCCCGACACAAAAAGUUUUAAAUUUGAUUAAAAAGUUCAAACCAAUAUUUCAGAAUAAUGAUAUUGAAAAUAAUAUCAUUUAAGAAGAAAAUAACAUCUCUUACCUCAAAAUAACGAUACUUCUGAUCGAAAUAUCGGAUAGAAAGUCGAAGGAAACUUGUAUUGAACCGUAACUCUCAAAGUAUCAAAAUACUCACAAAAAUACGCUCGAUAAUCUAGAGAGAAAGAAAACUUGUUUCUUGUGUGAUUUUCAAUUCUAACCUAAGCGUCUAUUUAUAGGAAAAUGCUAGAACGCCAUAGGAGACUAAAUAAUAAAAUAAUAUUAUUUAAUUAACAAAUUAUCUACGCAUGCUUUGAAUAAGUCUAGCAUGCCUUCUUUGAAAAACAAACUAGCAACCCACAUGCUUGAAAAACCAAAAGUGGGUCCCACCCAUAAUUUAAUAAAAAUCAUUUUAUUUUUUGAAACUUCAACAAUUCAUAGAAAAUAGCCCGUUUAUUAGAAAAAUACGAAUUUUUUGUCCAUUCCACACAAAAUCGAAUUCUCUACAACUUUGUAGCUUUGAGUUUUUCCAAAUUCCAAAUAAAAAGUAUCCGAAAUUCACAAACGGGUGAUUUUUAAUUCCUCCAUUCUGACAAAAUACUGAUAAAAUACCUCAGCAUUAAUUCCUUCAUUUAUAACCACAUAAAAUAAAUAAAUCCAUCAUUUAUAUCCACAUCAAAUAAAUAUUUCCUUAUCAUAUAAAUCAAUAAUUAAUUAUUCACAAAUAAUAUUACAGAAUCACAAUUAUGACAAUCAGGCCGUUCCCAGGAAAGAGGGGGCUUUCUAAUAAGGAUUUCUCCUUACUGGCGCGCAAUUAGGUGACCAAACCUCUCCUUGACAGAACUUUCUAGACAUUGCCAAUAAUGCUUAUCUAAUAAUAUUAUUCAAAUAAUAUGAAUUAUUGAUCUGAUAAUGGAAAAUACUGUGCAAUGACAAUUAUUGAAACAACAAUAAUAUAAACUAUCAACGCAGCAAUUAUUGAAUCAAUAAAAUAAAAUAUUGAACAGUAACUACUGUAACAAUUCUUAAGUAGUGCCUUCUUACGUAUGAAUCAAUAAUUCAACAAUACUGUGCAAUACCGUGUGCUACUGUGCAACCACGCGUAUUACUGUAUUUUAACCACCAGGUAUUCCAACAGUGUUAACGAUAACAAUUACGCCGUUAUUUAUAAAACUGAACUUUAUCGUUUUCUUCAUCCAACAGUUAUUCCGUUAUGGGGCCCUCAAUUGACUGCGUCGUCGUACGGAUAUUCCCGACAAAAAGAAUAUUUCACGACCAAACGAAUAUUCUCCGACAAAAUGAAUAUUUUAUAACCACUUGCUUAUUUUGCAAAAUUUGCACAUUUCACCCAUAACCAAAGUAUUAUAUCAAAUUAACUCCUUAUUAUUUCAAGAUAAUAAAUAGAUAAAAUUUUAAUUUUAUUUAUAAUAAGCUGGGGUCUUACAUAUGAACCCCGGCGGGGGUUACAGCUCAUUCUCAACCAUUGAUACACAAAUCAAUGAAGGUCAAGCAACCUUGACGUUAUCUCAGCUGAUGGCAAGUAAUCCCAUCGAAGUAACCUUCCCUAGCAAGGGUCACAACGCGAUGCAACCAUUGAUACACACAUCAAUGAAGGUCAAGCAGCUUUGGCAAUGCACCCAACAGGGAUCUAUCCGAUGAUACACACAUCAGCGAAGGUCGGGCAGCCCUAACAAUACAUACUGUUGGCCGUAACUCCAACAAAAUUGUGGUACAUGCUGGUGAUACAAGCCAGAGAAGACCAUCCUCAUCGGAGAGGACCAAUAAUGGAAUAUGUUAUACACAUCCUCAAAUAGACGAAGCUUUCUCCCCACAGAUCUCUUGUACACAAGAGGUACCUAUAUAGAGUAAAAGUCUGUGUCUGGGAUUCAGGACUUUGGUUAUAGCCCCAAAGUCAAGCAUCCUUGAAGACUUGGAUCGCAUGUCUAAGACAUCAGUGAUUGUCAUCCUAAUAGGAUUAACCGAUAAUCAUACAUCAUACAUUUGCAUUAUGUUGCUGCACAUAGCAUCAUGUUUAUUUUGUUGCAUUUCAAGUGUCUAGGAUUCUUUAUCCUAUCCAUGCCUUGCAUUGCAUGAAUAUGAUAAAGAGGGGCAUCUGUAAACACUCAAAAUUUUCUGCACACAUGUUACUAACAUUGCAGGAGCACAGAUUCGUCUUUCGGGGAUAACCUUGGAAGCCAGUUCACAUCCAUUCCAGAUACUACCGAAAGUUCAGUUCUAACCCCGGAAUACACACCGGGAACAUCAUUUCCAACCCCGGAACACACACCAGAAGGAUCAUUUCCAACCUCAGAGAUAACCCCAAGUUUUGUCCUUGGCGAUAACACCAAGGAAUGUCGUUGCAGUUUCGGCGAUAACUCCGAAAAUGCUUAUUUCAAAUGCAUACGAUCAGCUUCAAUCAGACCUCCUGCCGAGGCACUCAUACCUCAAGCCCGGAGCAAACACCGGGCAAACAGGCACUCUUACAGAUGACCUUGCGGCAUACAAACACUUGCAGCAGUCCAAUCUCAAAUGUAACCCUGAGCAACCUCUGCUUUCAACUCAAACCGGAGAUAACCCCGGUGAGGACUCAAACGUCAUCUUGCCACCUCAACACCUAUGCGUCGUCUCAACACUUUAUACAUACAUACAUACAUACAUACAUACAACAAUGUUCUACAAGAACCAAGGAUUUCCAAUCCCGAGUGACUAUUACGCGUGGCAGCACACCGGAUAGAAUUUGAAGCUUGAAGACCAUGGGCAUGGUUCCCUCUUUCUGACUUCGUACAACCUCUAAUCCAUGUCAUUGCAUAACUCUCGACACAAGCAGUCCGAAGAAGGUCUUAUAUACCUCGUUCGGAUGCUCGGAUUGAAGUUCUGCAAGUUCGAACGGACAUUACAGUGCACGAGUGCACAUACUUCGAGACGACGGGACCCGCGGAGCUCGGGGUAGCCCGGGCAGCCGCAGGUGCAUCUGUGGCUACCGUAGGUACACCUGCGGCUCCCCCCUCUAUAAAUAGAGGGCUUGGGGUGGCCAUUUAAAAAAGAAAAAGGCGAGGAAGCCCUGUCAAAUUUGCUUUGUACACACCCAUAUUGAGUGCUUGCUCUUUUUAAACACAUGUUAGCUCACAUAUAGCUAUUCAUUUACCGGUGGGAGCUGAGUGUUUAUCUAUAUAGAGUCAUAGAAGUCUGCAUUGGCAGCCCACUGUAAGCCUUCUCACACUCUAUAAAGCCUUUCUCUUCAUCUUUGCACACACUAUUCUACACAUUGAGAGUCGUGUUAUAUGUGUAUGCCCAGAUUUCGAUCCGUGGUUUUCAUUUUAGUCUGUAUAUAUAUACUUAUAUAUGUAUAUAUUUAUAUAUGGACUAACAUUAUCGAUUUAUGCCUCGAUUGAGCCUAGACUUAUGUUUGGAGCGUUUACUUGCUUUUAUAUAUAUAUAUAUAUAUAUAUAUAUAAAUAAUUGUUGUCAGACAUAUCUGAUGAGCCUGGAGUUUACUUCGUGGCGGUUGAUCGCAUUUACUGCUUUAUUUACUUUUCUGAUCCCCCAUAGAGUCGCUUCGUGGUGGUUGAUCAUGUCCAUAUAUAUAUAUAUAUUUACAGCUUUUAUAUAUAUAACUGCUUACUUCUUAACUUCAUUCAAAUUGUUGAAUUGGAUACAAGUUUCAUGUUUUUGUGAAAAUAGAUUAUAUUUGUACAAGUUUUUGACCUAUGAAUUGUGUUGGUUGCUAAUAUAUGCACUUAUGUGCUUCCGUGAAAGCAAUGUUAUGUUAUUGAACUGUUUAAGUUGUUAAAAAAAUUUCAUUCAUUUUUCUUCACCAAUUUACAAAAGAAAAGCUAUAUCUCCUUGCCUACAUACUCUCUCUCUAAAGAAGCUUUCUCUCUAUUUUCUACUCAAAAUUCUAAUCUUUUAAAGAAAAGAAAAUUGGCUAAAGUAUUUAGGAUAAGUUAUUAAAUUGUUGUAUUUAUAUUAUCUCAUACUUGCUUAUAUUUAUAGAUAUACAAAUAUAAUUUGUUAUACAUAUAUAUAUAUAUAUAUAUAUAUAUAUAUAUAUAUAUUUCGUCUAUCAUAUCAUAUAAAAAGUAAGUACUUAGAUAGCGAAAUAAUUCAAAAGUUUUUCUCUGAAAUCUUUCGAACGGUUUUUAAAAUCCUAAGUGGCCUUUUAUUGAUAUAGAUAAUUUAUAUAAAUAUUGCAAAAUAUUUAUAUAAAUAUUAGUUAUGAACAACCAAAUCUAGUAAGUACUUAGAUAUCGAUAUUUAAAGAUAUUCCUUAAAUAAGAAUAUUAUCUGAAUGAUCUUUGAAAUCCUAAGUGGCCAAAUUUUCAAAAUGUAGAUCAAAUUUAUUAUAAUAUAUAUUUGAGUGAAACAAAUUAAUUUGCUAUAUGAAGUAUUAUUUAAUUGAUUGAUCUACUAUACUUGAUAUCUGUCGUCAUAAGUAUUUUGAACAUAAAUUCAUUUAUUCAUAAAAAUACUUGUUGCAUAAAUAUAAAAGUUACUUAAACUUUUAUAUCACAAACUUCAGAGAUUUUAUCUUCUUAAAAAAAACAUAUCACUUUCUAUAAAAGUUAUUUAAACUUUUAUAUCAAUACUCAAAGUUAUAUUUGUUUUACAUAGAAACAAAUUCUUUAUUUAUAAAGAAAAGUAAAAUGUAACACCCCAGAAACCCAGUCUAUCUUCAAACUCGAGUUCAUCACGGUACUACCUAUCCAGUAUAUUCUUAAGACAUGAAUGUAAUUAAUAUAUUAUCACAACAUAUCAUUGCAAAUCCCAGGUUCUAUGGCCUUUACAUCUAUAAAUUAUAAUAUUAAUAAAUAUUACAUCAUGCAAAUAUUAUAAUUACAACAAACUAUUACAUUACAAUAAGUAAUCCUCUAAGUCUUCUUCUUUAACAAUUCCUUUUGCUUAAUAUCAUCUGACUAUUCAAGUCCAUCCACUCUAGCUGCAAAAUUUUAGAGUUUUGCAAGGGUGAGCAUUUAAUUGCCCAGCAAGUUAUAACAGUUGAAUAAACAACAAAAUCAAGAAUCUAUUCAUCAUUCUUUGAAAACUUCGUCAACAAAACAAUAGUUGAGAAGUAGUUCAAAUAAAUAGGAAUAACUUAAAUCUCUUUCAUUCUUCAGCAUCACAAUCUCUAAUAACUAGUCCUACCGACUUUCACCUAUUUUUUUCAUAAAUCCUAUAUUUUAACAUCAACAGUGUCUACAUCAUCAUUAUAUCACAAUGUGUUUAUUACCAUGUACAUCUUAACACGUGUCCAGCUAAAACAAUUAGCAUGAACUUAAUCAUAACGCAAUUCAUGCAUCAACAAAGCUGUAACAGCUUAUACAAUUCAACAACAUAACAAUUCCUUCACGAAAGCACAUACGUGCAGAUAAUGGCAAACAACACAAUUCAUAGUUAAAUAACUUGUACAAAUAUAAUCUAUUUGCACAAACAACAUGAAACUUGCAUCCAAUUCAACAAUUUGAAGGAAGUAAGGAAACUUGUACAAAACAACUAUCUUGUACAGGUUAUAAAACUUACUAAAUUACAACAUUAGAGUAAGUUAAGAAACUUGCUUUAAGCGUUCUUCUUCUUCUUCUUCUUAGCCUUAAUCACCCCUUGAUCUUGAUCUUCUUCCUCUCCCACUUGAUCCAGCUAGCUAUCCCUCUUUUCUCUCCAAUUUGUUAGAGUUUCCUCUCUUAAUUUUGAUAAAUUAGUGAGUUCUAACUGAAGGAGGAAGGGCAUAUUUAUAGAUAACUCAAGACUUAGCCGCUACGUCUCAUGUUUUAAUAAGCUUGACACCUCUUGUUAAAUUAAGCUUUACAAGGCUUAUAGUCAGCCAUCUCAUGCUAGGUUUUACCUUGACAAUGCUUAUGAUCAACCAUCUCGUGCUCGAUUUUAGUUUGACAAGGCUUAUGGUCAACCACCUCGUGCUAGCUUUUAGCUUGGCAAUGCUUAUGAUCAACCACCUCGUGCUAGGUUGUAGCUUGAUAAUGCAGCUUGCAACUAAAAAUAUCUUCCAACUAGCUUGGUCAGAAUUUUUUAGUUGAUUGUGGGGUUGAUUAGUGGCAACGUACUUAAGUCGUGCUUUAGAUUUUGACCAACUAUAGAAAAACCAAAUCCAUAUACUUUGAUCUGAUUGGUCUAAUGUGGUUUCUUAGUUACUUAAUCAUUAAGCCUAAGUAGCUUACAAGUUACUAAACUUGAAAGCACGACUGUGACAACCGAGAUUUUGUAAUUUAAUUUUUUAAUAUUUAUUGAAUGAAAUAAAUAUUUUUUGAUGAAUUAAUUAUUAGAUUAAAUAAUUAAUUGAUGAAAUUGUGGUAGAUUAAUUUAAUUAUAUGUGUUAUAUUUAUUAAAUUAAUGUGAAGAAUUUUUAUUAUUCGAAGCAUGUAUUUAUGUGAGCUUAUUGAAUUAAAAGGGAAUAUUUAAUAAGCCUAAUGUUAUUUUAAUUAAUUUAAUAAUUAAUUAUAGAUUUAAUAAUUUGAUAUUAUUAAUAAAUGAGAAUUUAAUUAUUUAACUAUGUGAAUUAAUGAGAAAUUAUUUUAUUUUAUUUAAAAUAAAUUAAACUAGAUAUUUGAUUUAUUUUAUAAAGGGUGUGACAUUUUUCAAACUAUAUUAUAAAGGUUUUAUUAAAUUAAUUUGAUAUAAGCCUUUAAGGCUAGCCAAAUGAGGCCUUAAGAGGAGUUGGGGGCAGUUAAACCACGUAUGGAGUAACUGACCUCAACUCUGCGCAUAAAGGCUCAGUUGGCAUUAUUCUACGUAUUCUUCAUUUUAGAGUAAAUUGAGAGUCAGAGAGAAUUCAGAGAAUUGUUAAGUGAAUUGUGAUUGAAGAAGAGUUGAGAAGGAAUUCUUCUCCUGCAAAUUUACAUUCUAUGCUUUGGCUAAUCUCUUCAACCCAAUCCCUAUUUUACGUCAUUUAGUUUUGUAAAAAAAAUGGCUUUCAUUCAUUCUGUAAAGUCUUUGUAAAUGGGAAAUUGUGCUGUUAUAUGGAUAUAUGUAAUAAUACGAGUAGUAUAACAUGUUUUAUAUAUAUUGUAUAUGGCUCCAUAUCAUAAGUUUCAUAAUAUUAUAACUAUAUGUUAUGGCCUCAAAAAUUACAGAGUAGAGAAAUAUG